rnacentral:rRNA from 1 species
GAUGAACGCUGGCUACAGGCUUAACACAUGCAAGUCGAGGGGAAACGACGGGGAAGCUUGCUUCCCCGGGCGUCGACCGGCGCACGGGUGAGUAACGCGUAUCCAACCUGCCUCUGACUGAGGGAUAACCCGUCGAAAGUCGGCCUAAUACCUCAUGGCAUCGUCUGCGGGCAUCCAACGACGAUUAAAGAUUUCAUCGGUCAGAGAUGGGGAUGCGUCUGAUUAGCUUGUUGGCGGGGUAACGGCCCACUAAGGCGACGAUCAGUAGGGGUUCUGAGAGGAAGGUCCCCCACAUUGGAACUGAGACACGGUCCAAACUCCUACGGGAGGCAGCAGUGAGGAAUAUUGGUCAAUGGGCGAGAGCCUGAACCAGCCAAGUAGCGUGCAGGAUGACGGCCCUAUGGGUUGUAAACUGCUUUUAUGCGGGGAUAAAGUGAGGGACGUGUCCUUCAUUGCAGGUACCGCAUGAAUAAGGACCGGCUAAUUCCGUG